CUGACGACCACCGUUAAUUAAUUGAUGAGACACUUUCUCUAGUUCUUUAAAUGUAGCGACCGGAGAAAACAAAGUCAAACCUUUCGUUAUUGCUCGGUUUCUUUAUUUAAAAAAGAGGAGGAAGAAGAAAAGAAUAUAUUCUCGACAUUUUCUGGAGACCGGGAACAUUAUGAAAACUGUUAAGGACGAUGGGAAGGUGAGGGCGGCGUCAUUAAAUCGUUUUACUAAAGAGGCGCCUCCCUCUGGGAUGUCCAAGAAUGGAUACUUCUUUCAAGAAAUGGAGCAGCGGGAGGUGGAGCAGGAGGAGGGCAGCGAGGGCCGAGAGGAGGGACAAGAUUCGCCGAUCGCCUGCGGAGAUGACAUCCACCUCUAUGACAACCAGAUCAGCCCUGGGCCAGAGACUGACGAUUCUGGCUGUGUGUUACUCAAUACAUCAAGAAGGUAUGUGAAGCUGAUGAAUUUUGAGGAGGAGGUUCGGGCACACCGUGACCUGGAUGGCUUCCUGGCGAGGGCCAGCAUCUUGCUGGAUGAGACAGCCGCGUCCCUGGACGAUGUUCUGAAGAGAAUGUUGCACCACGUGGGCCAGGACAGCCAUGCGUUAGAGCCCGGGUGCAACUUCGAGGAGGUGAUGAGCAUGCUUUUCACAGAUGCAGGAGCACAGGAGGUCAACGUUCACCUGCUUUCAGAGACGAUCCAGGGAGUUACAGCAACCGCCACAGGGGUCCAGUACCAGCAGUCCUGGCUUUGCAUCCUCUGCAACGUGAAGCAUCUCCAGAAGCGUCAUGUGUGCAUCUCCCGCCUGGAGAGGCCACAAAACUGGGGGGAGAACUGCUGCGAGGUCCGCUAUGUCAUCCUGAUAUUGGCCCCUCUCAAAAUGAAAAGUACCAAGACGGCGAUGGAGCUGGGUCGCACAUUCGCCACCCUCUUCUCCGACAUCUCCUUCAGGCAGAAGCUCCUGGAGACAAAGACACAGGAGGAGUUUAAGGAGGCUUUGGUGUUCCAGAGGCACCAGCUCACGGCAGCCAACCAGAAGCCAACGGCUCUGGGGAAGGAGGAGACUGACCCUCGCAGUCAUAAACCCCUCAAGUGUAAAGAUUUCUUCAAAGCUGGCCGGGGAAUUUAUGAGGACUUUUGCCGCAGGCUGCCUUUCUACCCCUCUGACUUCACAGAUGGUAUAGUUGGCAGUAAUAAAACCCUGCUGAAGUACAUGACCACAGCCAUCUUCCUCUACAUUGCCAUCCUCCUCCCUGCCAUUGCUUUCGGCUCCCUCAAUGAUGAGAGCACACGUGGCGAGAUUGAUGUUCGGAAGACCAUCAUUGGCCAGAGUAUCGGCGGGGUCAUCUACUCGUUGUUUGCCGGCUCUCCUCUAGUCAUCCCUCUAACCACAGCUCCCCUCGCCAUUUUCAUCAGCGUGAUCCGAGGAAUCUGUGACGACUACAACCUGGAUUUCCCAGCUUUCUACGCCUGCAUUGGGUUGUGGAACUGCCUCUUUCUCAUCCUGGGAGGAAUCUUCAAUGUCAGUCUGCUCAUGAAGCUCUUCAAAAGGUCAACAGAGGAGGUCAUUGCCCUGUUCAUUUCCAUUGCAUUUGUGGUUGAUGCUGUGAAAGGCACAGUCAAAAUCUUUCAUAGGUACUACCACGCUCCAACACUGGCCAACAGAAGCAUAGGGGACUUUCCUCAAGGUGGAGACCUGCUGGGGGGAAACAGGAGUGAGGUGGUCGCGGGGUUUGCACUUACUGAAUCCUUCAUCCAGUGCAGUCGAGAGAGACCUGUCCUCUGCCUCCUGCUGAUGCUCGGGACAUUAUGGAUGGGCUAUACUCUCUACCAGUUCAAAAGGAGUCCGUUCCUGCAUGCCAAAGUGAGGGAGGUGCUGUCGGACUGUGCCCUGCCAAUCUCAGUGCUCAUGUUCUCCUUCAUCGGCUCCUACAUUUUCAGUGACAUUGAACUUCCAGUGUUUAAAGUUCAUAACCGGCCCAUCUUCAACGUGGCACCAUUUGAGCGGCUGUCGCCCAUGAACGUUGUCAGCGCCAUGGGACUCGGCUUCCUCCUGGCCCUCCUCAUCUUCAUCGACCAGAACAUUGUUGUUUCGCUGACGAACGCACCAGAAAACAGAUUGCUGAAGGGUACUGCAUAUCACUGGGACCUGAUGCUCUCUGGGCUCAUUAACAUCCUAAUGUCAGUGCUGGGGUUGCCCUGGAUGCAUGCCGCCUUCCCCCACUCCACCCUCCAUGUGCGCCAGCUGGCUUUUGUGGAGCAGCGCGUCGAGGGGGGGCACCUCUACGAGACUAUCGUCCAGGUUAAGGAGACCCGUCUGACGUCUCUGGCUGCCAAUAUCUUCAUUGGCAUAUCAGUGUUGCUGUUGCCUCUCCCGCUGCAGUGGAUACCCAAACCUGUCCUCUAUGGCCUCUUCCUCUACAUCGCCCUCACCUCCAUCGACGGAAACCAGAUGUGCGACCGAAUGGCUCUCCUUCUGAAGGAGCAGACGUCUUACCCACCUACCCACUACAUCCGCAAAGUGCCCCAGAGGAAGAUCCACUACUUCACCUUCCUGCAGAUGAUGCAGCUGCUGGUGCUGUGUACGUUUGGCAUGUACCCGAUACCGUACAUGAAAAUGAUCUUCCCUCUGGUCAUGAUCCUCCUAAUCCCAAUCAGGAACAACGUGCUUCCUCAUAUCAUUGAGGCCAAAUACUUGGACAUAAUGGAUGCCCAACACAUGUAGCUACAGAUGGAAUAAGCUCUGGAUCCACAUAAAGACAUCUGGAAUUUAAACAAAAAAAACAAAAAAAAAAGAAAAUUAACAAAAACAUAUUUUUCAAUGCAAAACUGUAUGGAAAGCAAAAAGGAAAUAUAUAUCGACUGUUUUGAUUUUUGUAUCCGAUAAGAACAUUCUUUUAGGUGAAACACUGGAAAAGUGGCAAGUCAUGUGAAGAGGGACGAGAGUCGUGGGAAAUAUUUUCCAAACAUUAAACGGACAGCAUCUCUCUGAGGGGGAAAUUCUACCGAAAAAAGGAAGGAGAAAAAGAAUGAAACAUAAAACAGGACCGUCCAGAACUCCCUGUUUCACUUCUGUUUGACCCUGUCAGAUUGUUCAGUGCCAUAUACCUCCAUCUUCUCCAUUCACACCUUAUACUUUUCUAUGGUAACACUUUACAAUAUCCUACUGCAGUGUGUACAUCUGUGUUUUAACCUGUGGGCAACUGCUUCAAGUAUUCACUAAUACUGCUCAAGUAAUAAAACUGCUGCCAGUGGAAAUUGCGUAUUAAUUAGAAAGGUGUAAUGGCACAAUGUCAGUAUGAACAUUAUCUGUUUUUGACACUUUGCACUCACAUUGUGUUUUUACACUGCCAUACAGGGAGGUUUGCCAUCUGUACCCCGUGUUAAGUAUUGAAAAUCUUUUCCAUGGGUCACUUACAUGGCAGUAACACUGCGUUUAGGCCGCUGUAAAGAAAAUCUUUACCUUAAUCAUUGUGCAGUGUUGAAACCUUCACAUUCCUACACCUUUUAGCUGUGAUCCUCCCUUUUAUCUAUGUAGGACACUUGCGUCCUUACAUGUUUUGAUUCUAAGUCAUUCCAAAAACGUUAGUAUUCAUUAAGGUGUGUGUGCGUGUGUCUGUGUGUGCGUGUGUGUGUUAUGUGUGUGUGCCAUCAUCUAGCUUUCUGCCGGGUCUUAGAAAACCGAAUUUUUAAGGUGGAAUUUAAGUGCUCAGAUGAAUUUUAAAAAAUACAUUCCACGGGUAUAUAUUAUGUGUAAUUAUUUAGAAAGACAGCACAAACCAAAUCAUAUAGUAAAGUCUUUAUGAAAUUAUGAAUAUAUUAGAAUAUAUUAUGGCAGUAUAUAAAACUUAUUAUUGUUCAAAUCUAGGAUUAUUUAUUUAUCAUGAUGACCGUUUGUCUUUCAAGUGGAGAAUGAUCAUUUUGUGUGUUUACCCUGACCUGCACUUCUCUUUUUGCUCUUUUUCAUCCCACAGAUACCAAAUGUUGUAUUCCGAGUGUGUGUCUCACAUAUGACUCUCCCACAGUUUACAUAUCAAAGUCCCUUCCAGUUCCAUGUCACAGUUCUGGUGCAUUGCUAGUAAAGUCAGGUUUAAAAAAAACAAAAAGCAUCUGAGAGCUUUGGACUGAACAAAAUGCAUUUUUCUCCUGUGAUCAAGUGUUCAAAAAUGAGUUUUAGAAUAACCCAGUCUUGUUUUCUAUUUAGAUGUUAUGAUUAGAUCAGUGCUUGCAGAUGUUGUCAUGUAAUAAUCCAGGUGUCUGGAGAGAUUAAUCUUGUUAUCUACAGCUCAAAAAGAAAAAAGAUUCUAAGCACUGGUUUGCUUAAAGCAUGUCACCUGGGUUUUUGAUACAAUGUGAUGCCAAUGGACAUGUAUCCUACAUGAGGAAAAAAAAGUAGCAAGUCAAACAGUAACUUCUCAUUAAAACGAAUGCAAUGCUCAAUAUUUAGCAAUACUGUGUAUAAAGCAAAACUUCACCGGUGAUAUUUGGGUGAACCAGCAAAGGCGGACCCAUCACUGAAGCAAUGACAGGCCAGCUGUAUUUUUACAACAGCACCUUUUCAGUCCAUCCUCAUGGUACAAACGCUGCUCUGCGCUGAUUUGAUUACGUUACACAUCAAGAGGAAAAAAUACAUAAAAAUAUAUAUAUAUAUAUAUAUAUAUAGAUACACACACAUAAAUAAAUAAAAAAUAUAUUUGCCUGUCAAAGAGGCAUCCACAGUGGCAGAUUUUUAUUAUGGUUUUGUUGCUUUCCCAAUAUCCAAAUGGCAGCUCCUGCACUUCUGUUCAACUUUGUCUUACAGAUGUGAGAAAGAUGUCCAAUUUAAGCAGAUGGAUGUCUCAUGCUGAGAUAGCAAGGCAUAAAAGCCUGCAAGCAUUUGCAUAAUCCUUGGACUAAGCCUUAAGACAGCACUGGUGAAAGCAGGACGAGAUUGUGAGGUAUGAAGGAAUAUGUACAGUUUGCAAUGCGAAGUUUAGUUUUUAUCAACUAUCCAUUAUAAUCCAACGCAAGGUAUUAGUUUCUAACUUUGGACUGAGAUUUACUGAUUCUUCUUCUUAUGUGACAGUACUGUUGUUGUUCCUUGAUAUCCUCACUGUACUGAUCAUUUUGGAAUAGCAGCAAACUUCUCUCAGAGGACUUGAUAUUGGAUUUGGGAUGAAAGAUACUACUCCGUUUGUGAAACCUUGACUUCCCCUUCCUCCUAAUUGGAUUUGUUUGAAAUUGCGUACUGUGAUGUUUUGUUUAGGUUAACCCCCCCUCUUUUCUGAUUUCAUAUAGCCUACUUUUUCUAAUCAUGAAUGUAUGAUGUGUGGAUUUUUAUAUAGCAUACUAAUUUAGGUGUCAAACAGAAUCUGUAAUUUUGUCAAAAAGAUCAGCUAUAUUUGUAAGCUGUAAGAUGUAAAAUGAGAAAAAAUAGUUAUCAAAACAGAAUGUGUUGGUUUACUAUAGAGUGUGUGUGUGUGUGUAUAUAAUAUAUAUAUACACACACACACACUCUACACUGAAAAAGAGAGAUUAUCUCAAGCUGUUUGCCAAAUAAAAAGUAGUAGUGAUGUAAAUAAGUGUGUGCUUGUGCUCACUGCGAAUUGGUGAUCAGAUUGUCGUAAUGUUUGAUAUUUAUAUUAGUGCCCUUUAGACAAAGGUUCCUUCUAAUGUUAUUGACCACCUUGACCAUUUAUCUACGGCCACUACCAGGACAAAACGUUCCCCUCAGCAGCCUUGUUCAUUUAGAGGAUAUUACAAAAGGUCAAGACAUUAUGUGCCACAUGGUUACAUAAAGAAUGCAGUGUAUUUUCAGUAUGCUAAUCUGCUGUGGAAGUAAGGAGGUAAUCAACUCAAAAUAACUUCUGGGUAGUGCAAGUAAUGCAGCUGUAGGACCGUGUGUGAAAUACAGCUCCAUACUGCAAACAUGCAUGUAUUUCUACUUAUGGUUCUCAUUUUUUGUCACAAUCUUUUGUUUUAAUAAAAAUAAAAACCCACUCCUACAUAUAUAAAUUACAGAGAGAUUUUUAUGUAUGUUAACACGUUUCCAAAAAUAUUAAGUUAGCUGUUAUUUCACCUAUAAAUUUCCUGCUCUGUUGGGAAUUAAUAGCCAUUGUUGAUGCUUGAAGUAUCAGCCUUCCAUUGAAACAAACCUCAGUGUAAACGCUAUUAUCAAUGUUACUGACAUUCAUCCUCACAUGGGGAUAAAACCCUUCAACCGCUCUUUAACCAGUAGAUGUAUUUACAGCGCCGCUUUCAGGACAGUUUUUAUAUUCCCAACUUCACCGAAAAGGGAUCCUGUGUGCAUUGGUACCAUAAUUACUGAAUGAGUAAUUACGUGUUUUUAAUAAAUAUCUGUAUAUCUCGAACUGAUGUAUAGGCAGAAAAAAAUAUCAAUUUUUAGAGUAUAACAUCGUCUCUGUGUUGUCGCUGCUGGACUGCACCUGCGCAGAUGACCGCAGAUCUCCAAGUCAUAAGAAACCUGGCAGUUGAUCAGCUCUGUGGGGUUAUUAGAGGCACGCGGACAGAGUCGCGUUAAAUAAGUUAAGUCCCUCUGCCGCUCUGGGCUGCAUGGUGCGGAGCUCUGACUGUAUAAAAGAUAGACGACACGACAGCACUUUCUCCCAUGGUGCAAAAAUGAAGCCAAAAUAUCCCCCUUGUGGGAGCUGCCAUAUUGCGCUUUUGGAGCCGAAGCCUGCGCAGGAGUGACUUGAGGUGGAGCGACUGCGUCACUUUCCCACCCACACGCCCGCUGGAUGUGACCGCGAACACGCCCCCCUUACACUAGUUACGUAGCCUGGCUGCUCCAUCAUUAAUCUGAUUUUACUCCUCGCCAAAUCCCACAUCCAUAAAUAGUCCACAUAAUUAUUACCAGCUACACCCACCAUGGGAGAAACUGGUGAGGGAGACCAUCAGGACCAAGCUGGAUUUCCUGGGUCCAGAGGUUUGUAGAAAUCCAGAUGUUCUGUUGACCCACUGAGAGAGGCAUCAUUUCAGAAACAUCAGAAAAACUGAAGUUCAUCGCAGGGAUCAAGGAGGACCUCAUGAUCUUCACCACCAGCUCCCUUACAGGGAAAUCUUCAGAACCCCACUGUAGGCCCACUCCAGAAGAGACUUCUGGUUUGUCUAAUGUUAUAAAUACUUGGAUAAUCCUCAGCAGCUCUGGACUUUUACAUAAAGAUAUUAUAUUAAAAAAUAUAUU